AGGAUGAACGCUGGCGGCGUGCUUAACACAUGCAAGUCGAACGAACCUUCGGGUUAGUGGCGGACGGGUGAGUAACGCGUGGGAAUCUGCCCUCAGGAGGGGGAUAACGGCUGGAAACGGCCGCUAAUACCCCAUAUGCCGAGAGGUGAAACGAAUUUCGCCUGAGGAUGAGCCCGCGUCUGAUUAGCUAGUUGGUGAGGUAAGAGCUCACCAAGGCAUCGAUCAGUAGCUGGUCUGAGAGGAUGAUCAGCCACACUGGGACUGAGACACGGCCCAGACUCCUACGGGAGGCAGCAGUGGGGAAUUUUCCGCAAUGGGCGAAAGCCUGACGGAGCAACGCCGCGUGAGGGAUGAAGGCCUCUGGGCUGUAAACCUCUUUUCUCAAGGAAGAAGAUCUGACGGUACUUGAGGAAUAAGCCACGGCUAAUUCCGUGCCAGCAGCCGCGGUAAUACGGGAGUGGCAAGCGUUAUCCGGAAUUAUUGGGCGUAAAGCGUCCGCAGGCGGCCUUCCAAGUCUGCUGUUAAAACGUGGAGCUUAACUCCAUCAUGGCAGUGGAAACUGUUGGGCUUGAGUGUGGUAGGGGCAGAGGGAAUUCCCGGUGUAGCGGUGAAAUGCGUAGAUAUCGGGAAGAACACCAGUGGCGAAGGCGCUCUGCUGGGCCAUAACUGACGCUCAUGGACGAAAGCCCAGGGAGCGAAAGGGAUUAGAUACCCCUGUAGUCCUGGCCGUAAACGAUGAACACUAGGUGUCGGGGGAAUCGACCCCCUCGGUGUCGUAGCCAACGCGUUAAGUGUUCCGCCUGGGGAGUACGCACGCAAGUGUGAAACUCAAAGGAAUUGACGGGGGCCCGCACAAGCGGUGGAGUAUGUGGUUUAAUUCGAUGCAACGCGAAGAACCUUACCAGGGUUUGACAUCCUGCGAAUCUCUUGGAAACGAGAGAGUGCCCUCGGGAACGCAGUGACAGGUGGUGCAUGGCUGUCGUCAGCUCGUGUCGUGAGAUGUUGGGUUAAGUCCCGCAACGAGCGCAACCCACGUCUUUAGUUGCCAGCAUUUAGUUGGGCACUCUAGAGAGACCGCCGGUGAUAAACCGGAGGAAGGUGUGGAUGACGUCAAGUCAUCAUGCCCCUUACAUCCUGGGCUACACACGUACUACAAUGCUACGGACAAAGAGCAGCAAGUUCGCGAGGACAAGCAAAUCUCAUAAACCGUGGCUCAGUUCAGAUCGUAGGCUGCAACUCGCCUACGUGAAGGAGGAAUCGCUAGUAAUCGCAGGUCAGCAUACUGCGGUGAAUACGUUCCCGGGCCUUGUACACACCGCCCGUCACACCAUGGAAGUUGGCCACGCCCGAAGCCGUUACUCCAACCCUUGCGGAGGAGGACGUCGAAGGUGGGGCUGAUGACUGGGGUGAAGUCGUAACAGAGGUAGCCGU
rnacentral:rRNA from 1 species